rnacentral:rRNA from 1 species
CGCGACCCCAUGUCAGGCGGGAUUACCCGCUGAAUUUAAGCAUAUAAAUAAGCGGAGGAGAAGAAACUUACAAGGAUUCC